GAGCGAAUAAAUAUGUAGGUCUUUAAAUAUAUCUGUAAUCUAUUUGUAAAUAACAUAUGUAAAUCUUUGUGAUAUCAACAUAAAUGGUAACUAUAUUAACGUAGAGUCUGUAACAAAAUAUCUAAUGUUGCAUAAUUUUUAAAAGCAGCAAUAACUUUCAAGUUGAAACUGCCCUUUUUAGUAGUUUAGUAAAGAUUUAAGAACAGUUUCGAUUCAUUGUUCCCAAAUAUUACCAACAAUUUAUUCACACUUGCUAAAUAUCUCAUUCACUGCUGUAAUGGUUCAACACUUGUGUAUUUUCUUUAGAAAUUGCUAUUGUCAUCUCAGAAAUAUUGUGGUGGGACAUGAAUGUCAUUUCUAUCCAUUCUUUUUCUUCAGAUCUGUACAUCUAACAAUGAACACGGAUCCUUCCUAUACCCAGCAACUCACAGACCUCGGCCCAGGCCUUCAGCUGUGGACAGUCAUGUGUCAGUGACACGGGGACAGCAGUCAGGUGAUGGAAAGCAGAAGCUGCAGUGAUGAAGACGCUGAUGGACUCUUCAUGCUCCUCCAAGGACCAGCAAGACAGGAGUCUGCACAUCCUCACAAUCACACACACAUACACACAUUUACACUGACGCCAUGAGCACUUUACACACAGAUUGCACUGACUUCUGUGUUUACAAGGAUUUUUUUGUUCAUAGUGGUUUCAGAUUGUGUCAGUCACGAAAGUAAAAAUCUUGUAAAUAACUGUGUUGCAGAAAUGAAAGUCUCUUCACACUGGAGAAAUGAA